AUAUUACCAUGAUUGUGUCUACCAUUCAAACUAAGCUAAACCAUGUUUAGCUUUUUGUAUCCUGAUUACUUUCUAAAAUACAUUUUUUACUUUAAAAUAGUUUUAGAUGGACAGAAAAGUUGCAAAGAUAGCACAGAGUUCCCAUAUACCCCUCAUCCAUUUCCCUUAUUGUUAACAUUUUACAUUACCGUGGUAUAUUUGUCACAACUAGGAAAUCAACAUCAUACUUUAUUUAGAUUUCAUUAGUUUUUCCCGAAUGUCCUUUUACUAUUCCAGAAUCCCAUUUGGGAUACUUAGACUUAGUCAUGUCACCUUAGGCUCCUCUGGGGUGUGACAAUUUCUCAGUCUUUCCUUGUUUUUAAUGACCUCAACAGUUUUGAGGAGUACUGGUCAAGUAUUUUGUAGACUGUCCCUCAAUUUGGGUUUGUCUGAUGUUUUUCUCAUGCUUAGAUUGGACUUCAGGUUUUUAGGAAGACCAGCACAGAACUGAAGUGCACUUCUUUAUCAUGCCAUAUCAGGGGGUAUGUGAUAUCCACAUGGCAUUCCUAAUGAUGUUAACCUUUAUCACUUGGCCAAGGUUGGAUUGCCAAGUUUCACCAAUAUAAAGCUACUUUAUUUUUUUCCCCUCUCCAUACCCUACUCUUUGGAAACUAAGUGUAGCCACACUCAAGCCAGGGGAACAGGGGACUAUGUUCCACCUCCUGGAGAAGGCAAUACCUAAGUAAACUGGAAUAAUUCUGUAAGGAAGAUUUGUUUCUUCUCUCCCAUUUAUUUAUUUAUUCAAAUAAUCCAUCUAUAUCAGCAUCAACUCUUGGGCAUUUAUACUUUGGGUCACAAUAAAAUAAUAUAUCAUUUAUUUGAUUCUUCAAAGUGCUCCAGCUUUGGCCAUUGGGAGGCUCUUUCAUGUUCUUUUGACAUUCCCCCAUCCUUUUGUUGUCUGAGCACUUCCUUACUUGCUGGGACUAUAAACUGUUUCAGGCUUACCUUGUAUUUUCUCUGCCCUAGUCCUAGAAUCAGCCAUUUCUCUAAGGUCCUUUACCUUUUAAAAAUUAAAUAUAGAAUAUUUUUAUAACAAAUAGUCUACCAGAUCAAUCUCAUAUUUGAGAGCUUGCUUUUGGAUCAAAUGUUAAAUUCAAGAUAAAAUACUGAUUAUAUAUUACGUUGCUUAUUCUCAUUUUCUCCUUCUAAUCUAUUCUCUGCCCUUCUCUACCCUGCUGUGAGCCUUGCAGCCUAGUUUCUAUGAACUCCAUCACCUGGGCUACCUGGCCAUCUGGCUCCCCGUUGGGUUUCGCCAAUAGAAAGCACCAGCAAGUGGAGAGCUCCCCUGUCCUUACUGGUCCUUGUCCUCCUGGAGCACGCCUAUUCAUCCAUCAAGAUACAGCUCAAAUACUGCUUCCUCAAUGAGUCCUGCCUUCUUCUCCGACUCUAUGGUUCCAGAGAAUUAGAGAAUGUGCUCCUUAAGAGUAUAACUGCAUCAUAUUCACAUUUAUUUCCCUUUCCAUUAAUAGAUUAUUUGAUAAACUGAUAGUCAAUAUGUAUCUCCAAUAAAUAUACAUUCAAAUUAA